rnacentral:rRNA from 1 species
UACAGAGGGGGCAAGCGUUGUUCGGAAUUACUGGGCGUAAAGGGCGCGUAGGCGGCCUGUUAAGUCGGACGUGAAAUCCCUCGGCUCAACCGGGGAACUGCGUCCGAUACUGGCGGGCUUGAAUUCGGGAGAGGGAUGUGGAAUUCCAGGUGUAGCGGUGAAAUGCGUAGAUAUCUGGAGGAACACCGGUGGCGAAGGCGGCAUCCUGGACCGACAUUGACGCUGAGGCGCGAAAGCUAGGGGAGCAAACAGG